rnacentral:rRNA from 1 species
AGCGAACGCUGGCGGCAGGCUUAACACAUGCAAGUCGAACGGUCCUUCGGGAUAGUGGCGGACGGGUGAGUAACACGUGGGAACGUACCCUUAGGUUCGGAACAACACAGGGAAACUUGUGUUAAUACCGGAUAAGCCCUUCGGGGGAAAGAUUUAUCGCCUUUGGAGCGGCCCGCGUCUGAUUAGCUUGUUGGUGAGGUAAUGGCUCACCAAGGCUACGAUCAGUAGCUUGUCUGAGAGGAUGGCCAGCCACACUGGGACUGAGACACGGCCCAGACUCCUACGGGAGGCAGCAGUGGGGAAUCUUGCGCAAUGGGCGAAAGCCUGACGCAGCCAUGCCGCGUGGAUGAUGAAGGUCUUAGGAUUAUAAAAUCCUUUCACCGGAGACGAUAAUGACGGUACCCGGAGAAGAAGCCCCGGCUAACUUCGUGCCAGCCGCCGCCGUAA